GGAGUUAGCCGGUGCUUCUUCUGUGAGUGAUGUCCUUCCUGCCGGUUAUUGACCCGCAGGCCUUCUUCCUCACUGAAAGUGCUUUACAACCCGAAGGCCUUCUUCACACACGCGGCAUGGCUGGAUCAGGGUUGCCCCCAUUGUCCAAUAUUCCCCACUGCUGCCUCCCGUAGGAGUCUGGGCCGUGUCUCAGUCCCAGUGUGGCUGAUCAUCCUCUCAGACCAGCUACGGAUCGUCGCCUUGGUGAGCCGUUACCUCACCAACCAGCUAAUCCGACAUAGGCUCAUCCGAUAGCGCGAGGCCCGAAGGUCCCCCGNUUUCCCCCGUAGGGCGUAUGCGGUAUUAGCCUGGGUUUCCCCAGGUUAUCCCCCACUACCGGGCAGAUUCCCUAUGCAUUACUCACCCGUCCGCCGCUCGCCACCAGGGAGCAAGCUCCCCGUGCUGCCGCUCGACUUGCAUGUGUAGCUGCCGCCAGCGUCAUACUGAGCAUAAUACAACUACUGA
rnacentral:rRNA from 1 species